GACCUCAGCUGAAGUCAGAUGCUUAACUAACUGAGCCAUCCAGGCGCCCCCAGUCAAUUAUCUUUUAAAUAAAUUUAAAUUAUGAAAGUCUUUUCUAUUUCCCCAUCUAGUUAACAUGUUGUCAUUUCUUCUUCUAGAUCAUUAUUUCCAUACGAUAUCAUUUUCCUUCUGUUUGAAGGACUUUUACCAAUUCCCAUGCUGAAAGGCUGCUGAUGCUGAAUUCUUUCAUCGUUUACAUAUCUGAAGAAAUUUUGAUUUCAUCUCAUUUUUGAAAUAUGUUUUUGCUGGGUAUAGAAUUCUAGGUUGACAGUAAAGGUAUUGUUUCAUUGUCUUCUGGACUGUAUUUUUGUCUAACAAGAAGUUCAGUUUUAUUCUUAUCACUGAUCUUCUGUAUAUAAUGUUUCCUUUUCUCCCUGCUGCUUCUAAAAUUUUUGUCUUUCUCAGUGUUUUUCAGAAAUUUUAUUACAGUAUGCUUUGGUAUGGCUUUUUUCAUAUUUUUGUGCUUGGGUUGUUCUGAAGCUUCUUAGAUUUAUGGUUUUAUAGUUUUCAUCAAAUUUGAAAGUUUUUUUGUUAUUAUUUCUACUGUUUUUUUUUUUUUUAAUCCCUACUCCCUCUCUCUCCAUUGGAAAGUACACUAUGUGUAUACUAGGCUUUUUUGAUAGGCUGAGAAUGAAGUAAUUGCAGAAUAUCCAGAUUAUAGGGUUUAGCAUAUGGUUACAAAGUAAGGAUUAUAGCUCAGAAAUGAGAUCAGGGAUGAAACAAAGAUUUGGGAUAUAUCUGAAUAGAGGUGGUAGAUGAAACUCCAAGAGUUUUUUGAUUCCUUUGAAUGAUAAUGAUAUAAAAAGUAGACAGAGUGGUCUGCCCUUAUAUCCUGGUUGUAUGUAGAUGAUUGGCUACUAGUAAAUACAUUGAUAAUUGCACACACCCUCACUAUGGAAGUGUAUUUAUUUACAUUAUCAGUAGCCUCUUUGCCAGUCCUCAAACUGCCUAAUUUGGGGAUGCUAUAUUCUCUCAUCCUUGACUGCUGUUCCCUAGAUAUUCAUUUUGUGAACUUCUCAUUUCAUUUAGCUUUCUGAUCAAAUGACACCUACUGAGAGCUGACAAACCAAUCUGAAGCAGCCCCCACUAUUACUCUCUGAACCUUUUUAACCCUGUUUUACUUUCUGUCAUAGCACUUAUAACCACCUGGCAAAUGUUAGUGGUAUGAUUUUAAUCUGUUCUCUCUACCUAGAAUCUAAGCUCCACGAAAGCAGAAAUAUUUCUGUCUUCCUGCUUGAUCACCAGUACUUCACUUAUAGGAUAUGCUUCAUUAUGUGUACUAACCAAAUUAAUGAUUUUUUUUCUUUAUGACUAACACUUGUAGUGAAAUUACUGAACUAUUUUGGAAAAUAUCAUAAUGGGAAGAGUUACAUAUAUUAUUUUGAGCAUUGCUAACAUGCAAAGAUAUAGUAGGAAAGAUGUUUAUAUAAAUUAAAUGCCAUAGGAUUUCUUUGACAUUUUAAUACAAGCAAGCUUUGUGAUUCCCCCCAGCCAUUGGAGCCAAGUGGUGCCACAUCAGAUAGAAUGAGAACAGAGAAGACCAGAGCUUCGGCCAUUGGCGAGGCUGGAACAAUGGGCCUCAUGAAGAAGUUGGGAAAGAAAGAUAUCAAGAAAGGGAUCUUAUGCCCGUUUCCACAUUUUUAACUGCUAUUCUAAGCUGCAGUAACUAGUUGGUUUUCAAAAUUCAGAGAGUGGAAAAUCAAGGGUAAGAAUGCUGAGCCAAGAGCAAGGUUCAAGGAGGUUGGGCUGGAGACAGAUGAGGUAUGUGCCCCAUCCCACUCCCAAUAGUCCUGAGAGUCCCAAUGCACUAAGAAGAUCUAGCUAACUCCCUGAUUUCAACAUGAAAUGUUGAUGCAAACGUGCAUAUAUAUAUCUGUAUACAUAAAAUCAAAACCAUA